rnacentral:sRNA from 1 species
UUAAAAUUAUAAUACAUAUUUGUCCAGAUAAAUUAGGGUGGUACCGUGAUUAAUCUCGCCCCU